AACAGGAGGGAGGACCUCCGAAGGUCAGGAAAGAAGAGAGAAGGACUUCAGCUUCACUCCAACAACAUGUAAGACUGCUGAAAAAAGGUUGGAGAACAGUGGCUCUUGGAGAUGCACAGUAAUCAUCCCGCUAAAGCAGAACUACACUGUCAUCGUAUUAAAGGGGGCUGCAGGAAGCAGCAUACAGAGGAAAUGCCUUGGGCGGGAUGGUAGCCCGGAUCAGGGCUCACAUACUGGCUCACGUGUGGGCAAUGAAGAAGUAGCACUUCACGUGUACGGGAGAAAAACAGCAGCCAGAGGAAUCCUAUGCAAUCUCAGUGAGAAUAAACUCCCCAGACCCAGGACUGGGGCAGGAAUUGCAGGAUUCUCCUCUAGCAUUUAUUUUGGCAUACUGUAUUUAUUGCUAUUAUC